rnacentral:ncRNA from 2 species
AACUUAUCCAGAGAGGCGAAGGGAACUGGCCCGAUGAAGCCCGGCAACCUGCAUGCGUGCAAGGUGCUACAUCCAGCAAAAUGAAACCCAUUUUGGAAGAUAAGGU